rnacentral:rRNA from 1 species
UGGGGAAUAUUGGACAAUGGGCGAAAGCCUGAUCCAGCCAUGCCGCGUGUGUGAAGAAGGUCUUCGGAUUGUAAAGCACUUUAAGUUGGGAGGAAGGGCAGUAAGCGAAUACCUUGCUGUUUUGACGUUACCGACAGAAUAAGCACCGGCUAACUCUGUGCCAGCAGCCGCGGUAAUACAGAGGGUGCAAGCGUUAAUCGGAAUUACUGGGCGUAAAGCGCGCGUAGGUGGUUCGUUAAGUUGAAUGUGAAAGCCCCGGGCUCAACCUGGGAACUGCAUCCAAAACUGGCGAGCUAGAGUAGGGCAGAGGGUGGGGGAAUUUCCUGUGUAGCGGUGAAAUGCGUAGAUAUAGGAAGGGACACCAGUGGCGAAGGCGACCACCUGGGCUCAUACUGACACUGAGGUGCGAAAGCGUGGGGAGCAAACAGG